rnacentral:rRNA from 1 species
UACGUAGGGUGCGAGCGUUGUCCGGAAUUAUUGGGCGUAAAGAGCUUGUAGGCGGUUUGUCGCGUCUGCCGUGAAAAUUCGAGGCUCAACCUCGAACUUGCGGUGGGUACGGGCAGACUAGAGUGCGGUAGGGGAGACUGGAAUUCCUGGUGUAGCGGUGAAAUGCGCAGAUAUCAGGAGGAACACCGGUGGCGAAGGCGGGUCUCUGGGCCGUAACUGACGCUGAGGAGCGAAAGCGUGGGGAGCGAACAGG